AGUGGGGAUUCGCUCGUUGGGGGUCCGCUACAUGGAAUCACUCGAUGGUUGGAUGUUCGCUGGUUGGAAAAAAUUCCAACUAAAAAGCACUCGAAUGUCAGGAGAAGAUGUCAAACUAACUUUGACGUCUGACUACCGUCGCAUUGAAAUCUCCAUUUAUAGAACAAAUCUGGAGCUCGAUUUGAAAAGGUCGAAUGUGACAUUUUUGACUGUCUGAGAUAACUCUCUAUGAAGUUUCUCAAACGAUAUUCAAUUCCUAUUUCAAGCAAACAGCUAAAAAGCACACAAUAUACGUAUUAAGACACAAAACGAAAUCCCUCCCAGUAAACCUUUAAACAAACGCAUAAGAAUACACUCAUUUUUUUUAAUUUACGAGCAUACAUAAGUUUUCCGUCUAUCUGAGAUUGUUUGUGGUUCAUUCGACCUAAUCGAUACGACCUAAUGCCAGUCACCGCUGCACAUCGAACGGGCACGUUCAGACGUUUGACGUCUGAAAAUGUCCAUACGUCAAAGUACGAUCGGAAUGAUUGAUGGUCAGUGAAGCACAUACGACCCACCGUUGUAAACAGAAAUAGAGAUUUUCAAAGAAUUUCUGGAGUUUUCUACAUAAAGAAGAUGCAACGGAUGCGGCUGUCGGAUAGAUUUACUUGCUCGUAUCUUUGAAAAAAUCUUCAUAAGGCAUCAUCGGUACUUCUGUGGUGAUGCUCGGAAAGCAACAGGCCGAAGAUUAAACCAAAGUUGAACGAAGAGAGCAAAUUGUCGCUGUCGGUUUUCUUAAACUUUUCCUUAAGAUCUUUCACAAUCGGGAACACUAAAAAAUGAAUUCCUUGGAAAUGACAGCACCAGCACUGCUGUUUGCCUUCAUCUCAAUAAAUGAUUUGCUUAGUAGCUCAACCAGAGUCUGAUUCUGGGGGGAUUUUGUAAACUUGAAGAUAUAAGACAAUAGGUCGAAUACGCGUUUUUUCAGAUUUAGCUACAUUCGACUGAAAGCGCAAUAGGACGAAUGAACAAAUUUUUAUUGUUCCUAGUUUCUGUUAAUUACGUCAAAGUGUCAAUUAUUUUUGUAUUUUUGAAGAAAUAUAAUAUCAAAAUGGUACUUUACCCUCAUAUUAAGCUGAGUAGAAUCUACCUAAUGGUUAAAUAAACACGAGUAUUCUACUAUUGUUACUUAGGACCAUUUCAAAUCGAGCUCCAGAAAUGUAUAUGUAUAUGUGCGUUUCGUGACGAUUUGCGCUCCAUAUGCGUUAGUCUGGAACAUUUUCCCCAGCUAUCAGUAGUUCCAACUAACGGGUCGGAUUCGCUAGAUGGAAGGCAGUCGUGUUCCAACCAGCGAAUCCCCGCUGUACAGCCAUUCCCGAGGACAAAGUUGUCAUCUUCCGGCUAGGGCCAAGGAGGAAGUUUCGGAGCAUAUCGGCGUCUUAAUCACUCCAGUUUUUGAUAAAUUCCGCAAUUAUGUAAUUCGUGUAUAUGAGUGUAUAAAUAUAGUUUAUUGUAUUACGAAA